UGCCAGAGCCAGCGCAAACCGCUCAGCAGAUCCCGCAAAGCAGGGAGGCGCCAGACCGAAGAGGCGCUCUCCCUGAUCUGCACUGCAGCCUGUUGUUGCUGGCGGCAGCGCGAAGAGCGGCUCUUGUUCACUUCCCUCCGGCUCCCUCCCUCUUCUUUCCUACCCCUCCUUCCCUGCACCAUCACCAGCGGCGCCAGCAGCUUGAAGUGCGCUGCCUCCACGGAGGAAAUCUCAUCUGCUCUGCACCUGCCUCCUCCUCUCACGGACGUCCUAUAGCUGCUGCGCCCACACCAUGUACUGUAAGUACAAGUAUUAUCCACUUGGCAGCGCUGUGCUGCUGUUAUUAUCAGCUCCCUGACUCUGCCCCCCUCUCCUGCUGCACCGCCCCGGGCUGGCCUAUCUGCAGGGACCCUCAACAAGGAGCGCAUUGCUGGCUACCACCCAGAGCCGGAUUAAGAGGGUGGAACAAGGGUCAUGUACCCCGGGCCCUCCGUUUUAUAGGGCCCCCCUGUUGGAUCUGCUCCCAGAUAGCUCUAGCACGGGAUGAUAGAGCUAAGUUAACACAGCAGCAGUAGCUGGGCAGAGGGAGAAGAGAGACCUGCAGGCCAAUCACAGAGAGCUUCUCCCCGGAGUCCCCGCCCCCUGCAAAGCACUGCUGGGAAGAAGACUGGUGGUGUGCAUGUGGGCUGAGAGUUCUGCAUGGUGAGAGCAGAGGCAGCAGAGCCAGCCAGCCCACAGCAAAGUAACAUUGGACAGAGGGGCAGCUGCUGGGGAGAGAGAGAAAACUCUGCAAACUUGUCAAUAGCAUUUCGAACAGCUAUGAUGGAAGUCUUAAGGGUAGCAAACACUGCAAAAUCUUCGGGAGGUGCAGGCACACCAGCUAUUGUAUGAACAAAAGGCAUUGGGCACAAUUCUAAGAGAGUUGAAAAGCGCCGAGAAUUAGCUCCCAGGGGCUAUUCAAUGCAGCGCAAUGAAACUGAAGCAAACCUGAAAACUGUCCAGUGAAGGUUCAAAAUACAGUGACUGAGUAUCAAGCACAAUCUCUGUGAGGAACAUUGGCACAGGGUCUUCUUCUACAGGAGCACCGGACAGUGGGGCCGCUACUGCAGCCUAUUCAAAUAAAGCAAACGUGUCAUUUAAAAAGAAAAAAGUUACAUAAAUAACAUAAAAGUGGAAACAGAGAAAACUAUUUUGUAAUGCUACAUUAAUUUGUUAGUUGUGUAUUGAAUUUUUUUAUUCUAAAUCACUGUGAAGGCCCUUAUUUCAGUACUGAGAAUAAGUACGACAAGCUGGUCACAGCCCCUGGAGCUCCCAGAAACGACUAUGCCUUGGCCACGCCUAGCCACGCCCCUUUGCUCAGCACAGAUAUAACAUUCUAGGGGCACUACAGGGGUGUGUGAUAGCCUCCAGAAGCUGAGACCAAAAAAGAUAGAUCACUAGGAGUUUAUGAGUUACUGGCUGUUUGAAAAAAUUAUAUUUUCUGUUUUUAAAUGAAGGAAAUGGAUGUGUGGGGUGUGUGCAGAAAAUAGCUUGCUUACAAGUAAGUUUUUUGUCAUUUUUGCCACAGUGUUAUAUAGGUCAGAAAUCUUUAAACCAGGAAAGGUAUGAUAGAUUGAUUUACUUAAUGUUGCAUUGUAAAGAUAUUGCAAUGAUGUCACUUGUUUCAGAACUGCUUAGCGACUCUUAAUUAUUUAUAAUUUCAUUUAUUUUUGUUAUUUUCAUCUACAUUUUUAUAUGAGCUACUGUAGUAAUACUGAUUGGUAAAAGUAGGGUAAUAAUGGGGGGUUGUGUAUGAAAUCCCAUAGCAGAAUCCUGACGGACAGAAUCCCGAUGGAUCGUACUACCCCUAACCCACCACUACUGCAGCCUAACCCUAACCUCCCCCUCCUGCAGCCUAGCCCUAACCAUCCUCUCACGCAGCCUAACCCUCCCACAGCCUAACCCUAACCUCCCCCUCCUGCAGCCUAUCCCUAACCAUCCUCUCACGCAGCCUAACCCUCCCACAGCCUAACCCUAACCUCCCCCUCCUGCAGCCUAGCCCUAACCAUCCUCUCACGCAGCCUAACCCUCCCACAGCCUAACCCUAACCUCCCCCUCCUGCAGCCUAUCCCUAACCAUCCUCUCACGCAGCCUAACCCUCCCACAGCCUAACCCUAACCUCCCCCUCCUGUAGCCUAUCCCUAACCAUCCUCUCACGCAGCCUAACCCUCCCACAGCCUAACCCUAACCGCCCCCUCCUGCAGCCUAACCCUAACCUCCCCCCUUCCACAUUCUAACCCUAACCUCUACCACCCCUCUUGCAGCCUAACACUAACCAUCCACUCCCGCAGUCUAACGCCCCCCCCCCCCCCCCAUCCCUACAGAAGCCUAACCCUAACCUCCUCCACCCCUGCAGUUUAACCAUAAUCUUCCUUCUAGUGCGCCUGACACUAAUGCCAACCCCAGUACUUGACUCCAGGAUCUGUCAGGAUUCUGACCAUCGGGAUCCCGUUGUCGGUCUUCUAAAUCCAAAUGUCGGGAUUUUGACUACAUUCCAUAUUGGGUUAGCAACUUUAAAAUCAUGACAAUUUAAGAUUCACAUUGUUUUUAGUGAGAGCUGUCAUUUGAAGAGAUGAAAUAUAAGUUAUAUGAAUCUUCAUUUUAGCUUUUAUAUAUAAAUGUUGCUGAAAAAUGACCUGGCUGCAGCCCACUGUAUUCCUACAUAAAUUAAAAAUGUAACUGUAUGCUAUAAAGCAUUCGGUGCCAAUCACAUUACAGUGAUCUCAAUUUGGCAAGGUAAAGCUGUUUAGCAUUUAAUAGUGUAGCAAUCUAUGCUUUCGAUUUUAAUGGAAUUAAACUGUUCUCUCUCUUCA